UAAUAAUGUAUAUAAAAAGGAAGGCAAUAAUACUUGCUCAGUAAAUGUAUCUAUUAUUACAAAAAAUAAAAAACGUGUUGCACGCUUACUAUAUAUAAGGUGUACAGAGUGCUAAACUCCGGAAUUGGGUAAGGAAGAUGCAAUGAGGAAGAUAUCAUCCCUGUCGUCCUCAAGCUCAAAACCGGAACUCAAAGCAAACAGUGAUUAAGAGUUGUAAGAGAUACAGACAACUGGGAGCACAAGGAGAAGACUGGAAGGGACAGAGCUGAGAUCUGGGCUAGGCCUUGGACAUUGACAAGAGCCUUGGUUCACAGCUAUGAUGAGAGAAAACUUUGCAGAAGCAAGAAUUCAUGCGAAAUCUCAGAGAAAGGCUGCAGAAUAACAGAAGCAAUAGCUAACACUUAUAUGGAGCACUUCUUAUAAGGCAGGCGCUGAGCAAAAUGUUUCGUAUCGUCUCAUCUAAUCCUCUGAACUGCGUGAGAUGAGACUCUGGAGAGGGGCUCUCGGUGCCACGGCUGCCACUGGGGAGGAGUAGAAUAACCAUGGACUCGUGUACACACACGUUUUCACAUGAAGAGGGAGAUGUGGACCCAAGUGAACACAGACAGCUGUGGCCAGGCCAUGCACUCUUAGACACAGACAGAUGUACCAGCUACAUACCCACCACCGAGCGCACCACGAAUAUCUGAGCCUGGGAAGUUUAUAAAGAAAAGAGACUUAUUGGCUCACAAUUCUGGUGGCUUAAGAAGUUCAAGAUUGGGCAUCUGCAUCUGGUAAGGGCAUCUGGUUACUUCAAGUCACUGCAGAAAGUGGAAGCAAAGCCAGCAUGUGCAAAGAGAUCAUCACAUGGUAAGAAAACUCACUCAACCCCCACCCACAGCAUUAUGCAUGAGAGAUCCGCUUCCAUGACCCAAACACCUACCACGAGUUCCCACCUCCAACACUGGAGACCAAAUUUCAACAUGAGGUAUGGAAGAGACAAAUAUCCAAACCAUAGCAGGUAUCUUAGGUAGAAAUGUUAACAUCUGGAGCCCUUGCUGAAUCUAUACUUCAAAGUCUACACAUGAAGCAACUUUCAGCUCUUGGCAUACUUUGAUGCUAUGAGUAGGAAAUAGCUAAUGAGUAGCCUGAGAAGAUUGAAACUCCAUCCUGCUUGAGUCAAAAAAAUGCCCAGGGCAGCAGAAGCCAGCCUAGUUAGGCAGGGAUGUAAAUAUUAGCAUAGGCAUUACAUAAAACGUCUUUAAAAAAUAUGAAUAGCAUGGCCAAGAGGAAGAUGAAGGAUCCAAGAAGCCCAGCAGCAGCUGUGGCAUCAGAGGUAUCCAUCCUUACCUCACACCAUAUACACAAUGUAACCCAAAAUAAAACAUAGUCUUG